CCUACGGGCGGCAGCAGUGAGGAAUAUUGGUCAAUGGGCGAGAGCCUGAACCAGCCAAGUCGCGUGAGGGAGUACUGCCCUAUGGGUUGUAAACCUCUUUUGUCGGGGAGCAAAAGCCGGACGUGUCCGGCUGUGAGAGUACCCGAAGAAAAAGCAUCGGCUAACUCCGUGCCAGCAGCCGCGGUAAUACGGAGGAUGCGAGCGUUAUCCGGAUUUAUUGGGGUUAACGGGUGCGCAGGCGGAUUUUUAAGUCAGCGGUCAAAUCGUGGGGCUCAACCCCAUCCAGCCGUUGAAACUGGGGAUCUAGAGUGUGCGAGAGGUAUGCGGAAUGCGUGGUGUAGCGGUGAAAUGCAUAGAUAUCACGCAGAACCCCGAUUGCGAAGGCAGCAUACCGGUGCACAACUGACGCUCAGGCACGAAAGCGUGGGUAUCGAACAGGAUUAGAUACCCUUGUAGUC
rnacentral:rRNA from 1 species